rnacentral:pre_miRNA from 1 species
GGGGGGAGUGCCGCACCUUGGGCUGAGUCCCCGGCGCACUGUGCUCCCAGGCCUGAGCUGUAGGACGCUCCAGGGCGCACAGCCCCUC